rnacentral:rRNA from 1 species
CCUACGGGAGGCAGCAGUGGGGAAUAUUGCACAAUGGGGGAAACCCUGAUGCAGCGACGUCGCGUGAGUGAAGAAGUAACUCGUUAUGUAAAGCUCCAUCUGUAGGGAAGAAAAUGACGGUACCUGAGUAAGAAGCCCCGGCUAACUACGUGCCAGCAGCCGCGGUAAUACGUAGGGGGCAAGCGUUAUCCGGAUUUACUGGGUGUAAGGGGAGCGUAGUCGGCAGUGCAAGUCUGGAGUGAAAGGCGGGGGCUCAACCCCCGGACUGCUCUGGAAACUGUACGGCUGGAGUGCAGGAGAGGUAGGUGGAAUUCCUGGUGUAGCGGUGAAAUGCGUAGAUAUUAGGAAGAACGCCGGUUGCGAAGGCAGCUUACUGGACUGUAACUGACGUUGAGGCUCGAAAGCGUGGGGAGCAAACAGGAUUAGAUACCCUUGUAGUC